rnacentral:rRNA from 1 species
UACGGAGGGGGCUAGCGUUGUUCGGAAUUACUGGGCGUAAAGCGCGCGUAGGCGGCUUUGCAAGCCGGAUGUGAAAUCCCCGGGCUUAACCUGGGAACUGCAUUCGGGACUGCAUUGCUAGAGUAUGGGAGAGGGAAGUGGAAUUUCAGGUGUAGCGGUGAAAUGCGUAGAUAUCUGAAGGAACAUCAGUGGCGAAAGCGACUUCCUGGACCAAUACUGACGCUCAUGUGCGAAAGCGUGGGGAGCAAACAGG